UUCAGUUAUUGUGUUGUUUAAGUUAUUACUGAACAUUUUGUGGUGGCUUUGUUCGUUUUGAGAUAUUUUAAAGACAAAAGUAAAUCAACAAAAAAAUGGCACACACACACAUAUGCAGGCUCUGUGGUAAAAAGUUUGCUUCCCAACUACAUGGAUAACUAAAUUAAAACAGGUAUAAAAAUGGUGACUUACUUGACGGAUCCGGACCAAGGACAACAAAAGAAUUCCAAACAAGAAUCCAUUAUAUUGGAAAUGGAUGUCUGUGAGACAGAGAAUGAAGGAAAACAACAGCUGAGUGGAGAUGUUAUAUGACCAAAUGGACAGGGAGAAUAAAUAGAGAUAAAGCAUCCUGAAUAUUAACCUUAAAAAUGAGAUGUCACAUGCUUCGACUGCCCCUACUUUUGUGGAGCUCAAAUAAAAGGAUACG